rnacentral:rRNA from 1 species
UACAGAGGGGGCAAGCGUUGUUCGGAAUUACUGGGCGUAAAGCGCGUGUAGGCGGUUGUUCAAGUCAGGUGUGAAAGCCUUGAGCUCAACUCAAGAAAUGCACUUGAUACUGGAUGACUAGAGGACCGGAGAGGAUAGUGGAAUUCCCAGUGUAGUGGUGAAAUACGUAGAGAUUGGGAAGAACACCAGUGGCGAAGGCGGCUAUCUGGACGGUUUCUGACGCUAAGACGCGAAAGCGUGGGGAGCAAACAGG